rnacentral:tRNA from 1 species
AGUUAAUGAGCUUGAAUAAGCAUUUGUUUUGAAAACAUAAGAUAGAACUUAACCUCUAUUAACUU